rnacentral:rRNA from 1 species
CAGCCGCCGCGGUAAUACGUAGGGGGCGAGCGUUACCCGGAUUCACUGGGCGUAAAGCGGGUGUAGGCGGCUCGGUAAGUCGGGUGUGAAAUCCCACAGCUCAACUGUGGAAUUGCGCCCGAAACUGCUGAGCUUGGGGCCGGUAGAGGGAGACGGAACUGCCGGUGUAGGGGUGAAAUCCGUAGAUAUCGGCAGGAACGCCGGUGGGGAAGCCGGUCUCCUGGGCCGCGCCCGACGCUGAGACCCGAAAGCUAGGGGAGCAAACCGGAUUAGAUACCCGGGUAGUCCUAGCCGUAAACGAUGCCCACUAGGUGUGGGGGAUUAAUUCCUCCGUGCUGGAGCUAACGCGUUAAGUGGGCCGCCUGGGGAGUACGCCCGCAAGGGUGAAACUUAAAGGAAUUGGCGGG